CCGACGGUGAGGGGCGAAAGCUGGGGGCACGAACCGGAUUAGAUACCCGGGUAGUCCCAGCCGUAAACGAUGCUCGCUAGGUGUCAGGCAUGGCGCGACCGUGUCUGGUGCCGCAGGGAAGCCGUGAAGCGAGCCACCUGGGAAGUACGGCCGCAAGGCUGAAACUUAAAGGAAUUGGCGGGGGAGCACAACAACGGGUGGAGCCUGCGGUUUAAUUGGACUCAACGCCGGACAACUCACCGGGGGCGACAGCAAUAUGUAGGCCAAGCUGAAGACUUUGCCUGAAUCGCUGAGAGGAGGUGCAUGGCCGUCGCCAGUUCGUACUG
rnacentral:rRNA from 1 species